AUUGAACGCUGGCGGAAUGCUUUACACAUGCAAGUCGAGCGGCAGCGCGGGGGCAACCCUGGCGGCGAGCGGCGAACGGGUGAGUAACAUAUCGGAACGUACCCAGUCGUGGGGGAUAACUAUCCGAAAGGAUAGCUAAUACCGCAUACGUCCUGAGGGAGAAAGCGGGGGAUCGCAAGACCUCGCGCGAUUGGAGCGGCCGAUAUCGGAUUAGCUAGUUGGUGGGGUAAAGGCCUACCAAGCCUACGAUCUGUAGCUGGUCUGAGAGGACGACCAGCCACACUGGGACUGAGACACGGCCCAGACUCCUACGGGAGGCAGCAGUGGGGAAUUUUGGACAAUGGGCGAAAGCCUGAUCCAGCCAUGCCGCGUGCGGG
rnacentral:rRNA from 1 species